AUUGAACGCUGGCGGCAUGCCUUACACAUGCAAGUCGAACGGCAGCGCGGGGCAACCUGGCGGCGAGCGGCGAACGGGUGAGUAAUAUAUCGGAACGUACCCUGGAGUGGGGGAUAACGUAGCGAAAGUUACGCUAAUACCGCAUACGAUCUAAGGAUGAAAGUGGGGGAUCGCAAGACCUCAUGCUCCUGGAGCGGCCGAUAUCUGAUUAGCUAGUUGGUGGGGUAAAGGCCUACCAAGGCAUCGAUCAGUAGCUGGUCUGAGAGGACGACCAGCCACACUGGAACUGAGACACGGUCCAGACUCCUACGGGAGGCAGCAGUGGGGAAUUUUGGACAAUGGGCGCAAGCCUGAUCCAGCAAUGCCGCGUGAGUGAAGAAGGCCUUCGGGUUGUAAAGCUCUUUUGUCAGGGAAGAAACGGUGAGGGCUAAUAUCCCUUGCUAAUGACGGUACCUGAAGAAUAAGCACCGGCUAACUACGUGCCAGCCGCCGCCGUAA
rnacentral:rRNA from 1 species